GUAAGGUGGGGGGGGGGGGCAACGUGGCCGGAGGGGGAACACCUAACCCAGGUGGGAGGGGGAAACACUUAACUCAGGUGUGUAAAGUUUCAGCUGAGUAGUGACUCUGGUCGCUUUAAGGCGUAGACUUUGGUCGCUUUAAGGCGUAGACUUUGGUCGCUUUAAGGCGUAGACUUUGCUGGUUUUAAGGCGUAGACUUUGGUCGCUUUAAGGCGUAGACUUUGGUCGGUUUAAGGCGUAGACUUUGGUCGCUUUAAGGCGUAGACUGUGGUCGCUUUAAGGCGUAGACUUUGCUGGUUUUAAGGCGUAGACUUUGGUCGCUCAAGGCGUAGACUUUGAUCGCUUUUAGGCGUAGACUUUGGUCGCUUUAAGGCGUAGACU
ensembl:lncRNA